rnacentral:rRNA from 1 species
GACGAACGCUGGCGGCGUGCCUAAUACAUGCAAGUCGAGCGCAGGAAAUCGACGGAACCCUUCGGGGGGAAGUCGACGGAAUGAGCGGCGGACGGGUGAGUAACACGUAAAGAACCUGCCCUCAGGUCUGGGAUAACCACGAGAAAUCGGGGCUAAUACCGGAUGGGUCAUCGGACCGCAUGGUCCGAGGAUGAAAGGCGCUUCGGCGUCGCCUGGGGAUGGCUUUGCGGUGCAUUAGCUAGGUGGUGGGGUAAUGGCCCGCCAAGGCGACGAUGCAUAGCCGACCUGAGAGGGUGAUCGGCCACACUGGGACUGAGACACGGCCCAGACUCCUACGGGAGGCAGCAGUAGGGAAUCUUCCACAAUGGACGAAAGUCUGAUGGAGCAACGCCGCGUGAACGAUGAAGGCCUUCGGGUCGUAAAGUUCUGUUGUAAGGGAAGAACAAGUGCCGCAGGCAAUGGCGGCACCUUGACGGUACCUUGCGAGAAAGCCACGGCUAACUACGUGCCAGCAGCCGCGGUAAGAC